rnacentral:rRNA from 1 species
CCUACGGGAGGCUGCAGUGGGGAAUAUUGGACAAUGGGGGCAACCCUGAUCCAGCCAUGCCGCGUGUGUGAAGAAGGCCCUCGGGUUGUAAAGCACUUUCAGUGAGGAAGAACGCCUGGUGGUUAAUACCCAUCAGGAAAGACAUCACUCACAGAAGAAGCACCGGCUAACUCCGUGCCAGCAGCCGCGGUAAUACGGAGGGUACGAGCGUUAAUCGGAAUUACUGGGCGUAAAGCGCGCGUAGGUGGCUUGAUAAGCCGGUUGUGAAAGCCCCGGGCUCAACCUGGGAACGGCAUCCGGAACUGUCAAGCUAGAGUGCAGGAGAGGAAGGUAGAAUUCCCGGUGUAGCGGUGAAAUGCGUAGAGAUCGGGAGGAAUACCAGUGGCGAAGGCGGCCUUCUGGACUGACACUGACACUGAGGUGCGAAAGCGUGGGUAGCAAACAGGAUUAGAUACCCCAGUAGUC